rfam:Parcubacteria (Yanofskybacteria) bacterium GW2011_GWC2_41_9 TT84_C0041, whole genome shotgun sequence.
GCGGGUAUCGUAUAGUGGCAAUACGCGACUCUUCCAAAGUCGAGCCGGGGGUUCGACUCCCCCUACCCGCU